CGGCUUUCCCCCAGAGUGGGAAAAGAAGGGAAGGGCAGAAGUGGCUUCCACCGAAAGCGGCCCCGGGGUGGGGGUGGGGGUUGGGGGCAGUGGUUAACCCACUCCGCUUUCCCACCCGCCGGGAUCGGGAUGCCGAGCUCGGAAGCCUCCCGGGCUCCACACUAGGGGAGGAAUCACGCCGCCCGUCCAGCAAGGUUAUUUACGGGCCAGUCCCCAGCGGGAGCGGCGAACUCGAGGCUGCGGCACUGAAGAGCCUCCCGCCCGCAUGCGGCAACCAGAGCAGCGCCCAAUCCCCACCAGCGCUACGGUCGCCCGCCAAGGCGGCAGCUUCGCCCGCGCUGCUCCUCGUUGUUCCUCAGCCGGCGGCUGCCCGAAGCUGCCAGCCUCAGCCCGAGCUCGGAGGGAAGUGCGAGAGAGGAGCCCGAUCCGAUUGGGUUGCGAGAAGAGCCGGGGAGGUCCUGCUGUAGCGGUGCGGAGGGAAUACGAAGUUGAUGGCUAUUUUAUUUUUUUUGCGCAGGAAACGUACCAAUCUCGCCUGCCGGCAGAUCCCCGGUAGCUCUUUUCCAUAUUCAUGAAAACAGCCGAGACUGUGUGGAGAAAUCACGUCCUGCCUUUAGCUGGAAUAUGCAAGCGUUCUGUUGCGUGCACUUACACUGCGCCGACACAUGCAUCAGUCACCAUUUUUACAUCCACAUGUAACUGACUGCAUCGCGAAGCAUUGGCAUAUACCGCACUGCAUUCAUACGUGCAAGCUGCCGCCUGCACCUAUUGCGAUUGACGGUUACCCGGCACCUCUGCGAACAGGUUGCAUUUAUUCACAUUACACCCACGUUUACUGCUCUAUAUUGUAUGCACGGCAUAUGCACCCCAUGGGAAUUUCUUGGUAUGGCAAAGCGUAAAAAGGCAGUGAAGUGGAAGAAGGUCUGUGUUCGGGGAGAAGCUAUUUGAGCAUUUAAUUCGCGUGUCAGUGCAAGCCUAAUACAACGUGUUCUCUUACUUUCUGUUCACAUUCACUGCCUCGUGUGAACCUGCCACUGCAGUUUUACACACCUGCACGGCUUGCAAAUGCAUACCGCAAAUAGUACCUAAAUGUACUAUACCAUAUUUCAUUUGCUAUGCAUAGACACAAUCUUUGCUACCACAUGGAUAAAUGCCAUGAUGCGAGCGCGGAAAUUAGCAUUACGUGACAAUGUGGUGUCAAAUCCAAACUAUAACAAAUUGCCCCCAAAAUAGAAAAAAUACUAUUCCACCAAAGUCCACAGAUUUUAAAUAGAUAUAUCUUUCCAGGCGUACGUUCUGGAGCAUUUUAGUUGCUGUUUCACUAAGGUCAAUGGCUGCAGACAGACUAAAUAAAGUAUAAAUUCUUUAUGCAACAAAAAUAAGUUAGAAUAAAAAGAAAAUAUUUUUAUAAUUGGGCCAUAAGCUUUAUUUUCAAGUGUAAUAAAAUGCAAAAGUUGUAUUAAAGAGUUAAUAAUGUAUCUGAUUUUUUAAACUGUGUAUUUAAUCUGUUCCAAGAACUUGGAGCAUUGCAACAUAAUUAAACAGGAAGGGAGAAAAUGAAGUAUUCUGGCAAAAGAUCUCAAACAUCAAAGCAAAAGCUUAAAAGAGCAUGAGGAACUCCCACAUGCAGAACACAAAUGUAACUCCAGACACUUUUUUUAAAAAAACCUAUACAUCAGGAGUUUAUCAUAACAGAACCUAUCAUCAAAAGAGAAUCCUUUUCAUACCUCAUUAUAUGAAGUCCAUAUAAUAUUUAUAACCUAAUACUCUGUGUGUUUACUUGAAAUAGCUUUCACUAUGUUCAUUGAAGCUUAUUCCAGGGUACAUAUUUAUAGAAUCCUAAUUUUAUAGGUACAUAUCCAACGUGGUGUUCCCUUUCAGAGUGAGUAGUGCUGUACAAAGCACAAAAAGGCGGUAAGCCAAAGCAAUUAAAGGCAUGAAAUAAGGAAAACUAUUGAAGCAUAACUUUGUCUUUUCCAUCCUCUCUAGUCACUUUCUUUCAUUAAAUUUGUUUUGUUAUUGAAUUCUCAUUCAUUCUCUCUAUAUGGCCAAACCAUCUCACCGUUCUUCUUUCUUCCUGAUCACUCACUUUAUAUUCACUCCACAUUCAUACUUGAUCCUAUUUCCUCUUGUUUUACCAAUACACAUAAGUACCUCAUUCCCACUGUAUUCAUCUUACAUUUAUGUUCCUCCUGAUGCACCAAAGUCAUACUUCCACGUAACAAUUAUAACAUUGUGAACUUUAAUAUAUUACACUACAGAGACAUUUUUGUUUCUUUCAAGACCAAUAAUACUAUAGCAGGCUGCAUGCUAUCCAUCAUCUUUCUAUCAGUUUGCACAUCUUUAAAAAAUUCUCUAUCCAUUUCCCCAUCUUUAGUAAACAUUCUAACGCAGUACAUAAAUUCAUCUCUUUACUCCAAUCUGGUUGUCAAAUUCACUUGCCUUGGUCUUUGAUACAUAUAUUUAUAGUAAUUUUACUAAACAUUAUGAUUACAGUAUUAAAAACUAAUACAAACUAACAAUUAAAAAAGUAGAAGGUGCAUAAAAAAAUGGAAAAGAAAUAAGAAAAGAAUAUAGUAAAUAAAAAGAAAAGAUAUAUAUAAAGAAGUGACUUCCCAUGUUAUCACAAGAAGUAUGAACAAUUUUAGUAACUUACUACUUCCUCUUACAAUACAACAAAAGAUCUCUUCUUUCUAUAUCCCAUAUCCCAAUUCUUAUCUAUAAACAAAUCCGUAAAGCAUUGUUAUUUCAAUCCUGGUAUCAGCAAAAACCAAUUAAGGAGUACCAAAAAUAACAAAACAUCUAUUUUAACCUUGAUCAAAUAAACCUACUUUAUAUUCUUUACUUCUAACAAUCUUAAUUUUUAGUCCAUUCAAAUAAUAUUGUAAAACUUGAUUUCUUUUCAUUUUUUCUUUGUUGCUUCUCAUAAAAUUCUUCAAAGCUGUAACAAGCAUCUUUACUAAAUCUGAUUUAGGAACAUUAUUCAGGUCAUUCUCUUAGUUCAUUAUUUGUAUGAUUAAUUUUUAAAACAUCAGCUGGUUUCUUUUGUAUCUCCAAUGUAAUAUAUUUUUCCAUAUAAUUGCUGUAUUCUGUCUUUUGUCAAUUCAUUUUCAAUUCAGGUAAUCUUGAUUUGAUCUUGUCAGGUAAAAUCUUGUUUCUCUUCCAUAACAUCUUUUAGACACAGCUUCUCCAUAGAGGCAGAUGUUUCUAUUGCACUAUUAGUAACAUCACUAUGCUCUUCUCCUUUAAUUAUAAUUUUUAGUUACCUCUAGUAUCCCAUUUUUAAAUUUUUAUGUUUUUUUUUAAAAAAUCAAAAGCUACAUUUCCCCACAGGAAACAUUCUUUAUAAUUAAUUCAAAAAUCUUUCAAAUUUACCUGGACUCUAAAAUAAUUUAAGUUUUUAAAACUUUAUAAAAGUAAAGUUGGGGGAGAGAAUCUAAUUUCUGCUACAAAUGCCUCUGCUGAGAAGUUUUUGUCUGCUUUAUUUUCAUAAUAUUCCCUAAUAGACAAACAAUUUUAUUGUCCAUAUUCACACAAAAUAUCUUAUAAUUCAAGCAUCUUCACUUUUAGCAUAUACUUUCUCUAAAUCAACAAUUGUACAAUAACUUUCUUCCUUGGAUACAUUACUGAGUCGUCCAUAGGCAGUCUUGGUUAAUAAUAUCCAACUUAUGGACAACCCAUACUUACCAGCAGGCUGCCUACUACUAAAAAUGGCACAUGGCAUUCUUCCUUGAGCCAACAGACUGAUGAAGCUGCACAAUGUUUUCAUGAGUCGUUAAAAACAAGCUAUAUAUAUAUAAAUGCAUCAUUCAGCAGUUCAUAAAAACAUUGCAUGGCUUCAGCAGUUCAUUGACUCUAGGAAGGACAAUGCUGUCUGCUAUUUUUAGUAAUAGACACCCCAUUUCAAGUAUGUCUUCCAACUUGCAUAUACAUUUCAGUUAAAGACAGAGUUAGGAAUGGAACUCAUUCUUAACUUAGGGACUCUCUGUGGUGAAGGGCAAUAAUCUGGUCUGCAACCUCCAUACCAAAUAUAAGCUAUCCUGUUUUCCCCAAAAUAAGACAUCCUCUGAUAAUAAGCCCAAUUGGGCUUUUGAACGGAUGGCAAUAUAAGGCAAAGCACUUAUUUCAGGGUUCAAAAAAAUAUAAGACAGGGUCUUAUUUUCGGGGAAACACGAUAUAUAUGUGUCCUUCUCAAAUAUUGCUUAUUGUUAGCCCAUUGUUAUGUUUGUAACGGGAUCAAUAACAGCACUUCUCCAAACAUUUGAUACUGAUGCACUCUUCAUGUACACGUUAAAUAAAUCUCAUUGAAAUUCUAUAAACAGACCACAUCCUACAUAAUUGCCCAAUAAUGUCAUGACCCAUGUCAUUGUGGCUUACUAUACACAUCUCUGAGUUAAAAUAUUAGACAUUAAUUCCUUAAGUAAAUUUUACAGGCUCUUACUUGUUUUGAAGACAUUCUUGCUGCUUUAAAACAUUCUCCUUUUGAAGAUACAGUCUUUUGCAAUCAAUAGUAGCAAAUAGAAUUUUAUUUCUUUUCAUUAGUGCACAUUCAAAUUUACAAGAUUUUUACCGUACUCAGUUACCACAGUUGAUUAUUAAUAGAAUUCUGGUUUUGUUAUCCAAAUAAACUAAAUAGCUCAAUGGACCAUUAAUGUAUGGGCAAUAUUUAUUUCAUUUAUCGCUGUGAUUUUUUAAAAAAAUUAAGCCUUACUCACUAAAAUUGGUAACAUCUAAGAUAGCCAACAUAUCCAAGAACAUUCUGCCAGUUAAUACCAACUAAAGCUGCUGUUAUCUAUCAUUUUCUUAAAAUAAAAAUGCCUGAAACAGGUGA